UGUGGGAGCGAGCUUGCUCGCGAUGCGGUGUGUCAGUCGAUCACCCUGCUGGCUGAUCUGACGCUAUCGCGAGCAAGCUCGCUCCCACA
rnacentral:misc_RNA from 1 species